rnacentral:ncRNA from 1 species
AUAAAAUAAUUAUGUUUUUGGAAAUUUAUUAUAAAUUUAUUUUACAUAUAAAUUUUAGUAUAUAAUUUUAAUUAUUUAAAUAAUAAUUAAUUUAUUUUGGUAGUAAUUAAUAUUAAAAAUUUAAGAGAUUAAGAUUUAGUAAUAUAAAAAUUAAUAACUAAUUUUGUGCCAGCAGUUGCGGUUAAACAAAAGUUAAAUUAAAUUAUUUCAGUAUAUAAUAAAUAAUAAAAUUAUUAAAAUAAAUAUUAAAUUAUUAAGUGAAAUUUUAAUUUAAUUAAAUUUUAUUUUAAAUUUAUGAUUUAAUAAAUUUUAAUAUAAACUAGGAUUAGAUACCCUAUUAUUAAAAAUUUAAUUUAUAAUACUAAAAUAGUAAAUAAUAAUUUAUUGAAACUUAAAUAACAUGGCGGUAUUUUAGUUCAUUUAGAGGAAUCUGUCUAAUAAUUGAUAAUCCACGAAUAAAUUUACUUAAUUUAUAAUUUUGUAUAUCAUUGUUAAAAAAAUAUUUUUUAGGAAAAAUAAUAUUUAAAAAUUAUAAUAAAAAAUUAAAUCAGAUCAAGAUGCAGAAUAUAAUUAAGAAUAUGAUGGAUUACAUUAAAUAUAUUUAUAUGGAUAAUUUUAUUGUAAUAAAAAUUUGAAGGUGGAUUUAAAUGUAAUUUUAAUUAAUUUAUUAAAAUGAUUAAAAAUUAAAAUAUGUACAUAUUGCCCGUCACUUUCAUUUAAAAAUUGAAAUAAGUCGUAACAAAGUAGAGGUACUGGAAAGUGUUUCUAGAAAGA